CUUUUUUCUUUGCUUUUCUUGAAUGACAAUCCAAUGCUUCUUUCCAUUAUUAAAUAUGGAGCUAUAUGAUGAAUAUGAAUGAACCAAUAAACUAAUUUCCUAUAGGGGCCAUUCACAUGAUGAAAGAAUUAGAAGGAAUGUAGAAGAGACAUGCUUCAAGAUGAGCUCCGAAAACUGCUCGAUGAAUUUGUAGCAGGUGGUUCUGUUUUGCUCGACCAGAAGACCUUCAGUCUGCAUUAACACACAGCUAUUAAAAGCUUUAACUGAUGUAAGGUAACUUUGAGGCUCUACAUGCGAAUCCGACUACACCAAUAAAUAUGCCAUGCAUGAUUCCAACUUGUUGGCAUAGUUCUGUUAGCCAAGUUGUGUUCAAGUCAGGUCCUACCGACUUGUUUGUUCAAGGCCUAAGAUUUGACGAAAAGGCAUAGUCAACUCAACGGAUGACAGGAUGCAGGUGAAUAAUACUGCACCAUCGCUUGUUUGUUCCAAGGGAAGGAGGAGGCUAGUUUAGUAAAAAGAUGGUUACAAGUAAAGAGAGAUCAUUGAAGACAAUGUAGCACAUUAAAGAUAAAAGGCAUGAAUGAAUCAACAAUAGCUAUCUAUGUUGCUAGGACUCGAGGGAAUUUGGUAUUGGGGGUCAAAAGAAAAUUAUACUAAGGGCCAAGGCCCUGGCCUACCCUUGGCUAUGCCCUGCUAAGACUCUUUCAUUUUGCUUCGACUACUCAUAUUUGACACUGAAUGGACUCACAUUUCACUUGGUAAAAACAUAGGUGGCAAUGCAAACACCUUGUAAUAUAUCAAGGAUUCCGUCAAAUUAAUAAAAAGAAUUCAAAACUUGUCUGGA